GACGAACGCUGGCGGCGUGCUUAACACAUGCAAGUCGAACGGUAAGGCCCUCCGGGGUACACGAGUGGCGAACGGGUGAGUAACACGUGGGUGAUCUGCCCUGCACUUUGGGAGAAGCCUGGGAAACUGGGUCUAAUACCGGCUAGGCCCAUGCGCUCCAGGGAGUGGGGGGGAACGCUUUUGCGGUGUGGGAUGGGCCGGCGGGAUAUCGUCUUGUUGGUGGUGGAAUGGCCUACCAAGUCGACGACGGGUAGCCGGCCUGGUGGGGUGACCGGCGUCACUGGGACUGGGAUACGGGCCAGACGCCUACGGGAGACAGCAGUGGGGAAUAUUGCACAAUGGUCGCAAGCCUGAUGCAGCGACGCCGCGUGAGGGAUGACGGCCUUCGGGUUGUAAACCUCUUUCAGUAGGGACGAAGCGCAAGUGACGUUACCUACAGAAGAAGCACCGGCCAACUACGUGCCAGCCGCCGCCGUAA
rnacentral:rRNA from 1 species